rnacentral:lncRNA from 1 species
CACGGCUAUUUCUCAUAUUUGUUUUUCGUUUGUUGUUUUGCAUAGUUUGUUCUUGUGUUGUGUUGUUACAUCACUGUUCCAGGUAAGGGGAGGGUUUGCUGACAACAAUGGUGUGUUGUUACAUCACUGUUCCAGGUAAGGGGAGGGUUUGCUGCCAACAAACUAGUUUAACCAUAUCACAUCUGUAUAUGCCUGUUUCAAGUCAGUGGUUAUCAUUUGCUGCUGUAAAUCAUAUUUGUUUUUUUGUUCAUUUUUAUGUACAUAAAUAAGGCCGUUAGUUUUUUCUUGUUGGAAUUAUUUUACAUUUGUAAUUUCAGGGCCUAUUACAGCUGACACUGCAGUGAGUUUUGCUCAUUGUUGAAGGCAAUUCAGUGAACUGUAGCUGUUAAUUUUU